GACGAACGCUGGCGGCGUGCUUAACACAUGCAAGUCGAACGGACAGGCCCUGCUUUUGUGGGGUGCUCGAGUGGCGAACGGGUGAGUAACACGUGAGUAACCUGCCCUUGACUUUGGGAUAACUUCAGGAAACUGGGGCUAAUACCGGAUAGGAGCUCCUGCUGCAUGGUGGGGGUUGGAAAGUUUCGGCGGUUGGGGAUGGACUCGCGGCUUAUCAGCUUGUUGGUGGGGUAGUGGCUUACCCAGGCUUUGACGGGUAGCCGGCCUGAGAGGGUGACCGGCCACAUUGGGACUGGGAUACGGCCCAGACGCCUACGGGAGGCAGCAGUGGGGAAUAUUGCGCAAUGGGCGGAAGCCUGAUGCAGCAACGCCGCGUGCGGGAUGACGGCCUUCGGGUUGUAAACCGCUUUCGCCUGUGACGAAGCGUGAGGGACGGUAAUGGGUAAAGAAGCACCGGCUAACUACGU
rnacentral:rRNA from 1 species